CUGUAGCUUAGCGCAUGCUCAGUCCAUUUUGUGUUGACGUGGUCGUCUGCAGGGUCGGGCUCGGGAGAGUACCCUCGCCCCACUGGGGUGGGGAGCCGGGGGAGGAGAGGUCGCUGACAUCAGGUUCCCAUCGUGCCUUGAUAGUGUGAGCAGACAGUGAUGGAGAGGAACGUGAUGGAUGACUUCUCUCAGUAUAUUACCUCAUGUGUACCCUCCUGAUUCUGAUCCCAGCAAGUCAGCAUUAUGGUUGCAGAGAUACUGAUCGUACAUGUUCAAACUCUACCUGGGCUGAAAUUGGCAACAAGGACGUGAUGAAGCAAAUCUGCUCCUGAUUAUUGCGUUCAAGGACUGUCGUUCAGCAGGCCCAUGAACUUGCUCUUCUGAGACAAGUUGUUCAAGGUACUGCAGUGGGGGCCCUCAACUCACAGGUAGGAGGGUCUAUCCCCCACGGCUAGAAGUUUCUUCUAGAACAACACUGGGCUGUGCUAGAGACCCCAGCCUUGGAAUCACACGUUCGUCACCUUUUUUUAUUAUUCGCAUUUCUUGGCUCUAUUUGUUCAGGGAGUAGAUCGAUUAAGUUAUAUUCUACAAAUUUCAAUGAUAUACUAACAGAUAAAUACACAUGGCUAAGGACAAAGGAAAAUUCAUUUCUUGUAAUGUCAAUGGGCUGUUAAAUCCAAUCAUACGAAGUAAAAUUCUAUCAAAAAUGAAAAAAAGAGCAAGCCCAGGUAGUAUAUUCACAGGAAACUCGUUUAAGUGAUAAUGAGCAUGGAAAAGUAAAGAGAAUGGGCUUCACUAAUUUGUUUUUCUGCUCAUAUAAAUCAGGGCAUAGAAGAGGAGUUGCUAUUCUCAUCUCAAGCAAGCUAAAUCUUGAAAAAGCAUUCAAAAUGGGAGAUAAGGAGUGCAGAUAUAUUCUGAAAUGGAGGGAGUUCGGGUGGAAAAACUUGAUAAGAUAUUUUAUUACACCCUCUCAGAAAUCCCAUUAUGAUAGUAACCUCCCUGUUUGCUGGAGAAAUUGUGGAAAUCAAAAUGCAAACCAAUACCAUAUUUUUUGGGAAUGUCCCGUUAUCAAAUACUAGUGGAGUGGGAUGCAUAAUGCCUUACAAGACAUCUUUAAAUGUGAAAUAACCUUAGAGAGUAAGGCCAUAUAUUUUGGGUAUAUACCUCAAGAAUGAUUGAAAUGAGAUAAGUAUUUAAUGAAUGUACUGCUGGUGGCUGGUAAAAAGACCCUUACCAGAAAGUGGUUGUCACAGGAGAUCCCAGCUUUAAAUGUAUGGAUGGAAAUUACAAUGGACAUUUACAAAAUAGAGAAGAUAACAGCAUUUGAUUCAUACAGAGAAAAAUGGUUUAACUACAUAACACCUCAUAGGCCUGAUUUUAUUCUCGCAAGUCAAUGAAUAUGUUGUUAAAAAAAAGAUCACUCCCUAUUCUGUACAUAAUUUUCUUAUUUUGAUUAUUCUUUCUUUCCUGUCUAUAAGUGUAUACCUCAUAAAUAUUAUGU